rnacentral:rRNA from 1 species
AUUGAACGCUGGCGGCAUGCUUUACACAUGCAAGUCGAACGGUAACAGGCCGCAAGGUGCUGACGAGUGGCGAACGGGUGAGUAAUGCAUCGGAACGUGCCCAGUCGUGGGGGAUAACUACUCGAAAGAGUAGCUAAUACCGCAUACGAUCUAUGGAUGAAAGCGGGGGACCGUAAGGCCUCGCGUGAUUGGAGCGGCCGAUGUCAGAUUAGGUAGUUGGUGGGGUAAAGGCUCACCAAGCCAACGAUCUGUAGCUGGUCUGAGAGGACGACCAGCCACACUGGGACUGAGACACGGCCCAGACUCCUACGGGAGGCAGCAGUGGGGAAUUUUGGACAAUGGGCGCAAGCCUGAUCCAGCAAUGCCGCGUGCAGGAAGAAGGCCUUCGGGUUGUAAACUGCUUUUGUACGGAACGAAACGGCUCUGGUUAAUACCCGGGGCUAAUGACGGUACCGUAAGAAUAAGCACCGGCUAACUACGUG